UUGUGUAUUUUAAGCUUUUUUGUUGCUGUGCUUUUUCUGGAGAUUUUAGUUGGAUUGGAAAGCUCCUGUGUAAGGUACCCUUUCCUAAAGAAAAAUUGAAGUAAUUUGUACAAUUAUAACGCGCCGAGCUGUGUUUUAUUUUAUUGUUUCUAAGAAGAUGUAAGAAUACAAUAUUAUCAAUUUUAAUUGGUUUUAUCCAAAUCAAGAUUGUGUACAAUGGGAUUGAGUGAUGUAAUCUUCUAAUGCGUGUGGUGAAAAGAAGGCGAAUCCGUUAUUGUUUUUCUGCCCAAAUUUGAAGCUAUUUAAUAAAUCUUGAUAAAGUUAAAAAACUGUUUUGA